rnacentral:antisense_RNA from 1 species
GAAAGGACGACAUUGCUAACAUUGCUUCCAGUGUUUACUUAUGCCAGCCUAGCGCUGGCAAUUUUUU